AUUGAACGCUGGCGGCAGGCCUAACACAUGCAAGUCGAGCGAGCGGCGGACGGGUGAGUAACGCAUCGGAACGUACUGCGUAAUGGGGGAUAACUGUCCGAGAGGACAGCUAAUACCGCAUAUUAUUCGAGCGGCCGAUGGCUGAUUAGCUGGUUGGCGGGGUAAAGGCCCACCAAGGCGCCGAUCAGUAGCGGGUCUGAGAGGAUGAUCCGCCAGACUGUGACUGAGACACGGCCAAGACUCCUACGGGAGGCAGCAGUGGGGAAUUUUGGACAAUGGGCGAAAGCCUGAUCCAGCCAUGCCGCGUGUCUGAAGAAGGCCUUCGGGUUGUAAAGGACUUUUGUCAAGGAAGCGGUACCUGAAGAAUAAGCACCGGCUAACUACGUGCCAGCAGCCGCGGUAAUUC
rnacentral:rRNA from 1 species